rnacentral:rRNA from 1 species
GACAGAGGUGCCGAGCGUUAGGCGGAAUCACUGGGUUUAAAGCGUGUGUAGGCGGACCGUUAAGUGUCUUGUGAAAUCCCCCGGCUCAACCGGGGAAUUGCUGGGCAUACUGGCGGUCUUGAGCAGUCUAGGGGCAGAUGGAACAAGUGGUGGAGCGGUGAAAUGCGUAGAUAUCACUUGGAACGCCAAAGGUGAAGACAGUCUGCUGGGGACUUGCUGACGCUGAGACACGAAAGCCAGGGGAGCGAACGGG